rnacentral:rRNA from 1 species
GACGAACGCUGGCGGCACGCUUAACACAUGCAAGUCGAACGAGGUCCAAGGAGCUUGCUCCUGAAGACCUAGUGGCGAACGGGUGCGUAACACGUGAGAAACCUGCCCUGAACUUGGGAAUAACAGUUGGAAACGACUGCUAAUACCGAAUACCUUCACGACGUCGCAUGGCGAUGUGAAGAAAGCUUUAUGCGGUUCAGGAGGGUCUCGCGACCUAUCAGCUAGUUGGUGAGGUAACGGCUCACCAAGGCAUCGACGGGUAGCUGGUCUGAGAGGAUGAUCAGCCACACUGGGACUGAGACACGGCCCAG